UCUCGUCACGCCCUCUCAUCUUCCUUCGCUUUUGCUUUUUACACCUUUCCCCCCGUUUUCUCCCAUUAUCUCUCUUUCUCAAAACCCUUUUUUUUUUCGAACCUCUCUGUCUCUUUUCCCACAAGAUUCUCCAUCAAAAUUAGGAAAAAACUUCUAGAGUUUUCUCUUCUCCGAAGAUUAUUUUUUUUAUAUCCAUAAACAUCAAAUAGAAAUAUUUAUAUCUGUCUUUCUACUUCUCUUACAAUAACCCAUUUUGGUUUUGUUAACUAUAAGCUUAAUCUUUAUUUGCUUUGAUUUUGGGCGGAAUUUUUUAGGUGGAAUUUUUUUCCUCUCUCCCUUUUGCGAUGCAGUCUGAUCUUUAUCACCGUCUCAUUUGAUGAUUACUUUUUUAUUAGUUAAUGGCUCUACCUCUAUCUUUCUUCUUCAUAUUUCAUUUAUUAGUCAGGUAGUGCUUAUGAAAUUCUGCACAAGUAAUAAUACGUUAAUUUAACAUAAUAAAAAGUUAUCUUACACUAUUAUUUAUACAUUAUGUAUGGUGUGUAAGAAUGUAUAUGUAAUAUAUAGGGAUAAAGUACUAUUACUCCCUGAACUAUACCCUAUGUUCCUACGACACACCUUUCCUUUCACUGGUCCUAUUACCCCUCUAAUCUAUUUUUUUCCCUUAAUUCUUUGCACCUUUAACGCUGACGUGGACCAGUGCAUGCGAACAAAUAUGUUAAGCGCGUAAGGAGUAAAAAAAAAAGAGGUUAUAGCGAAUGGGAAGUGACCACGUGUCACUCCCAAAGUCCAUUUGAAGACUACUUCGCCCAAAACACACUUAAUUUCAUCAACUCCAUUACAAAUUUUCACCCAUUUGCAAGAGCUGAUUUUGGUGGCAAAUUUUGCCAUUUUCGAUCAGGUUAGGAAUGGCGAAUAGCUUGUUGAAUAAGUUGUGUAUGGACGAAGAAGAUGCAAAUGCUCAAUGCCGAAGUGCGAUGCAAACAUGGCAUUUUGCUGAAAAUGCAUACUUCUUGGUCUGACCGCAAUCCCGGGAGGAGAUUUUGGCCACCAAUAACAAGUUUUUCAAAUGGAGAGAGAUAAGCAAAGUGUUGAUGAAGGAUCAAAGUUUAUUAUUCCAAGAUUGGUAAAAAAAAAAAAUCAAGGAGUUAGAAGAAAAUUACGAGCGUGUUAGGUUGCAUUUGGCUGAGCUUGAAAGUUUUAAGAUGCAGUAUGAUAAUCCCAACAUGAAUUCACUUGAACUUGAAGAUUCAAAAGAGGAUGAAAUUCAAUUGGAUGAGCUUGAAAGUCUUACUCUUCAAUAUGAUAAUCUCAACAUCAAUUCGGUUGAGCUUGAAGAUUCAAAAGAGAUAGGUGAUUUGAAUGAGGUUGAAGUUUCAAAAGAGGAUAAGAAUGAUUUGGCUGAGCUUGGAGAUUCAAAAGAGAAGAGUAAUUUGAAAGAGAAUGAUAUGAAUGAAAAAAGAAAAGCAACUCGUGUAGGUUUAAUAGAACAAUCCUUUGGUGUUUGAUGGUUUAUGUAUUUGUUGUGUAUCUUAGUGGUUUAAUCCAAAUAGGCAACUUGAAAAAAAAUCAAAUGAAGUUUCCAUAGUACUAAUAGAACCUCAUUUUGGUUGUUGUAAUGGAACUUCAAUGAUCUCGGAUAGGCUAAAGUUAGAUUUGUUUUGUUGUAAAGUACAUUUUGGUAUUAUAAUGAAGCAUUAGUUUGGAAUUUUAAUGGUGGUGUUGUAGCUAAACUUGUU